AACACAGCGUUCAAACGAACUCCCCGCAAAAGGAAAGAAAAAACAAUUUUAUAUUGAGUCCUGCUUGGGAGGAAAAAUAGCGACCGUUGCGGUUGCAGCCUCUUACAUUCUCGAUAUUAUUUCGGCGCUUGUCGUCACAAACUUCGUCACAAAACUUCACCCUGAGCUUGGAUGGAUGGAUUGGCAGCGAAUGAGCGGAGAAGCUAUGUAUAUAUAUAUAUAUAUCGAGACUCAGGCGUACGGAGUAAGGAACUAUGGAUUGUUUGCAAA
rnacentral:sRNA from 2 species